AAUAGAUACCCUGGUAGUCCACGCCGUAAACGUUGGGCGCUAGAUGUGGGGACCUUUCCACGGUUUCCGUGUCGUAGCUAACGCAUUAAGCGCCCCGCCUGGGGAGUACGGCCGCAAGGCUAAAACUCAAAGGAAUUGACGGGGGCCCGCACAAGCGGCGGAGCAUGCGGAUUAAUUCGAUGCAACGCGAAGAACCUUACCAAGGCUUGACAUAACCGAGAACACCGUAGAAAUACGGGACUCUUUGGACACUCGGUUACAGGUGGUGCAUGGUUGUCGUCAGCUCGUGUCGUGAGAUGUUGGGUUAAGUCCCGCAACGAGCGCAACCCUCGUCGCAUGUUGCCAGCACGUCAUGGUGGGAACUCAUGUGAGACUGCCGGGGUCAACUCGGAGGAAGGUGGGGAUGACGUCAAAUCAUCAUGCCCCUUAUGUCUUGGGCUUCACGCAUGCUACAAUGGCCGGUACAAAGGGCUGCGAUGUCGUAAGGCGGAGCGAAUCCCAAAAAGCCGGUCUCAGUUCGGGUUGAGGUCUGCAACUCGA
rnacentral:rRNA from 1 species